GAUGAACGCUGGCGGCGUGCCUAAUACAUGCAAGUCGAGCGAACAGACGAGGAGCUUGCUCCUCUGACGUUACCGGCGGACGGGUGAGUAACACGUGGAUAACCUACCUAUGAGACUGGGAUAACUUCGGGAAACCGGAGCUAAUACCGGAUAACAUGUUGAACCGCAUGGUUCAACGGUGAAAGACGGUCUUGGUGUCACUUAUAGAUGGAUCCGCGCCGCAUUAGGUAGUUGGUAAGGUAACGGCUUACCAAGGCAACGAUGGGUAGCCGGCCUGAGAGGGUGAUCGGCCACACUGGAACUGAGACACGGUCCAGACUCCUACGGGAGGCAGCAGUAGGGAAUCUUCCACAAUGGGCGAAAGCCUGAUGGAGCAACGCCGCGUGAGUGAAGAAGGUCUUCGGAUCGUAAAACUCUGUUAUUAGGGAAGAACAAAUGUGUAAGUAACUACGCACGUCUUGACGGUACCUAAUCAGAAAGCCACGGCUAACUACGUG
rnacentral:rRNA from 1 species